rnacentral:rRNA from 1 species
UGGGUUAGUGGCGGACGGGUGAGUAACGCGUGGGUAACCUGCCUUACACAGGGGGAUAACACUUAGAAAUAGGUGCUAAAACCGCAUAAGCGCACAGCUUCGCAUGAAGCGGUGUGAAAAACUCCGGUGGUGUAAGAUGGACCCGCGUCUGAUUAGCUUGUUGGCGGGGUAACAGCCCACCAAGGCGACGAUCAGUAGCCGGCCUGAGAGGGUGAACGGCCACAUUGGGACUGAGACACGGCCCAAACUCCUACGGGAGGCAGCAG